rnacentral:piRNA from 1 species
AUGCUGGACAGCGGAAAGAACAG